UACAGAGGUCUCAAGCGUUGUUCGGAUUCAUUGGGCGUAAAGGGUGCGUAGGUGGCGUCGUAAGUCGGGUGUGAAAUUUCGGAGCUUAACUCCGAAACUGCAUUCGAUACUGCGGUGCUUGAGGACUGGAGAGGAGACUGGAAUUUACGGUGUAGCGGUGAAAUGCGUAGAUAUCGUAAGGAAGACCAGUGGCGAAGGCGGGUCUCUGGACAGUUCCUGACGCUGAGGCACGAAGGCCAGGGGAGCAAAUGGG
rnacentral:rRNA from 1 species